GAUUGGUGCUUGCAUCAUGAUUUACAUUUGAGUGAGUGGCGAACUGGUGAGUAACACGUGGGAAACCUGCCCAGAAGCGGGGGAUAACACCUGGAAACAGAUGCUAAUACCGCAUAACAACUUGGACCGCAUGGUCCGAGCUUGAAAGAUGGCUUCGGCUAUCACUUUUGGAUGGUCCCGCGGCGUAUUAGCUAGAUGGUGGGGUAACGGCUCACCAUGGCAAUGAUACGUAGCCGACCUGAGAGGGUAAUCGGCCACAUUGGGACUGAGACACGGCCCAAACUCCUACGGGAGGCAGCAGUAGGGAAUCUUCCACAAUGGACGAAAGUCUGAUGGAGCAACGCCGCGUGAGUGAAGAAGGGUUUCGGCUCGUAAAACUCUGUUGUUAAAGAAGAACAUAUCUGAGAGUAACUGUUCAGGUAUUGACGGUAUUUAACCAGAAAGCCACGGCUAACUACGUGCCAGCAGCCGCGGUAAUACGUAGGUGGCAAGCGUUGUCCGGAUUUAUUGGGCGUAAAGCGAGCGCAGGCGGUUUUUUAAGUCUGAUGUGAAAGCCUUCGGCUCAACCGAAGAAGUGCAUCGGAAACUGGGAAACUUGAGUGCAGAAGAGGACAGUGGAACUCCAUGUGUAGCGGUGAAAUGCGUAGAUAUAUGGAAGAACACCAGUGGCGAAGGCGGCUGUCUGGUCUGUAACUGACGCUGAGGCUCGAAAGUAUGGGUAGCAAACAGGAUUAGAUACCCUGGUAGUCCAUACCGUAAACGAUGAAUGCUAAGUGUUGGAGGGUUUCCGCCCUUCAGUGCUGCAGCUAACGCAUUAAGCAUUCCGCCUGGGGAGUACGGCCGCAAGGCUGAAACUCAAAGGAAUUGACGGGGGCCCGCACAAGCGGUGGAGCAUGUGGUUUAAUUCGAAGCUACGCGAAGAACCUUACCAGGUCUUGACAUACUAUGCAAAUCUAAGAGAUUAGACGUUCCCUUCGGGGACAUGGAUACAGGUGGUGCAUGGUUGUCGUCAGCUCGUGUCGUGAGAUGUUGGGUUAAGUCCCGCAACGAGCGCAACCCUUAUUAUCAGUUGCCAGCAUUAAGUUGGGCACUCUGGUGAGACUGCCGGUGACAAACCGGAGGAAGGUGGGGAUGACGUCAAAUCAUCAUGCCCCUUAUGACCUGGGCUACACACGUGCUACAAUGGAUGGUACAACGAGUUGCGAACUCGCGAGAGUAAGCUAAUCUCUUAAAGCCAUUCUCAGUUCGGAUUGUAGGCUGCAACUCGCCUACAUGAAGUCGGAAUCGCUAGUAAUCGCGGAUCAGCAUGCCGCGGUGAAUACGUUCCCGGGCCUUGUACACACCGCCCGUCACACCAUGAGAGUUUGUAACACCCAAAGUCGGUG
rnacentral:rRNA from 2 species